UACGUAGGGGGCAAGCGUUAUCCGGAAUUACUGGGUGUAAAGGGUGAGUAGGCGGCAUGGUAAGCCAGAUGUGAAAGCCUUGGGCUUAACCCGAGGAUUGCAUUUGGAACUAUCAAGCUAGAGUACAGGAGAGGAAAGCGGAAUUCCUAGUGUAGCGGUGGAAUGCGUAGAUAUUAGGAAGAACACCAGUGGCGAAGGCGGCUUUCUGGACUGAAACUGACGCUGAGGCACGAAAGCGUGGGGAGCGAACAGG
rnacentral:rRNA from 1 species